GCCUGGGUGGCUCAGUCGGUUGAGCCUCCGACUUCAGCUCAGGUCAUGAUCUCGCGGUCCGUGAGUUCGAGCCCCACGUCAGGCU
rnacentral:tRNA from 1 species